rnacentral:lncRNA from 1 species
AGUCUGUAGCAAACAAGGCAACCCACAGUCUUUGAUAGGGUCAAGAAGACUUCGCUGGCUCCAAUGGGGGAAGCCUCUUGAAUUGGGUACAGGAAAAAAAUGGUAAUAUUUGUGCCAACAAAACAAAACCUAAGAGGGCCUUGUGGUUCACCCCUUGGAUUUCUAAGAAGCUACACUUCCGUAAUUAGACCACUGGGGGGCAGAAGAGCAACAAAAAUUCCUCAGCAUGGCUGACUCACACCGCCUUCUGGGCGCUCAUCAUUGCUAACUUGGUCUGCAACAGGCAGAGGCGGCUCAGGCACCUCAUUUCCAGCUCCCACCACCUCCUCCCAGCCACCCGAUCCAGAGAGAGAGAAAAUCAAGAUGCAGCAACUGGGGAAUCCAAAAAAAAAAAAAUGGUUACAGCAGCUAAGCGGUCUACUGCUACAGGCCUGGGUGCUUGCUCCCAGUCUUCCAAAGGGCCAAGAAGGGGCCAGGUGGGGAGAACAGACAGUUACAGCUGCCUGACCGAGGACCCAAAAAAAGUUGGAGGGAAGUGGGUAAGUCUGGGAGAGUUUCUUUUUCAAAUCAGAGGAAAGGGUGGAUGUCUCUGAAGAGAGCCAGAGUUCCCAGUCGUUAAUAAGCCCACUCAGCCCCAGGGUGCCUGCUUACACCAAUGAGGAGAAGGCGAGCGGCCGUGCACAGCUAAGGCCUGAAGGCAUCCAGGUGGACAGGAUGGUGCAGGUGAGAGGUGUUCCUUGGGGGCAGGGUAGGUGAGGUAAGCCCAACGUGAGGCUGGGAGACAAGCAAAGACCAGGCCUCUCGGCCAUCUUCCACACAAGCAGAUGUGAGUGUGAAACCGACCUUAACAAAAGAUUCAGUCCCACUACAACCCUAGUACACAGAGACUAGGGCAUGUUGUGUUACAAAAUACAACAACAACAACAACUCAAACCAACCCCUCCAACAACAACCACCACCACCAGUAAUAGCAACAAAGAA